AAAGUAGAGGAAAUACUUUUAUUAGAGAAACAUGGUUACACCUUGAGGAAAUAGAAAUUCAAAAUAUAGAGAUACAAGUAGUACAUGCUUACAUAAGUAAAGAUUCUCUACAAGCACCAUCUUAGAAAAAGAAAUAUACACAAAAGCUACUCUUUUACAAAGAUACAAGGUGUUGACUUGGCUUUUAGCUACUUUGAGAAAAUAGCCAAUAAAGAUGACAUGAUCAAAAUCUCCCUCUCCCUCCUUCUCGAUCUUGGACAGCCACAAGGCUCCAAAAUGACACCAAGGAAACCUGCGAGUUUACACAAAAGAGGUUAGCAUGAAAACUCAUAAGUAAAGGGAAGUGGGAAGCAAGCCCAAAUAAGAAAGAUAAGGGAGUAGGCUGAAUGAGAUGGCCAGAGAGCUGCCAACUAAGGCUGUAAGAUGCAGCCAAACUGUUCCAUUCCCACUUUCAUUAUCUGAGAAUCAAAACCAAACUGCCACAGGUAGGAAGGCUCAACCACAAGCUCAAAAUAGAAGAGUAGAGUUCUCAUUUAUCGAAGCUCGAGGAGCCAGCCAAGAGAGGGAAUCUAUUUCCCCAGAAUUUCACCAAAUAGGCAACAACAAUUGGAUUAACACAUAGUAGAGAUAAGCUGACAGCCCCAAAAUAGGAGGCUUUGCCCCCAAGUCUCAAACACAAGAGGCCAAUGUCGAUGCCUACAUAAGCUGCCCCCCAUCCCUUUUUCCUCCACCACUUUGACACCCCAAAAUUUCACAAACAUAAGAAAUCUAGCGAGGAGAGGCAGUAGCAAGAGGCAAGGGUGUGGCAGCCAAGGAACCAAGGAUUCACCAAGUGAGGCGUAGGCAGCAACGAUGCAAAUGGAUGAUGCAGUUUCGUUGACUGGUCCACUCUGCUGAGGGAAACCAUGCCCGGAUGAGAUCAAAUAUGGAUGAAAAUCAGAGUGCAUCAAGCUUAGCUGCAGGGCCUCAUCUUAGCCUAGGCUUCAUUGAAUCACAGAAGAUGUGGAAUAAG